UACGGAGGGUGCAAGCGUUAUCCGGAUUUACUGGGUUUAAAGGGUGCGUAGGUGGGUAAGUAAGUCAGUGGUGAAAUCUUCGAGCUUAACUCGGAAACUGCCAUUGAUACUAUUUAUCUUGAAUACUUUGGAGGUAAGCGGAAUAUGUCAUGUAGCGGUGAAAUGCUUAAAUAUGACAUAGAACACCAAUUGCGAAGGCAGCUUACUACACAGUUAUUGACACUGAGGCACGAAAGCGUGGGGAUCAAACAGG
rnacentral:rRNA from 1 species